rnacentral:rRNA from 1 species
UACGUAGGGUGCGAGCGUUACUCGGAAUUACUGGGCGUAAAGCGUGCGCAUGCGGUUCGUUAUGUCCGAUGUGAAAGCCCCGAGCUUAACUUGGGAAUGGCAUUGGAAACUGGCGGGCUGGAGUGCGGCAGAGGGGGGUGGAAUUCCACGUGUAGCAGUGAAAUGCGUAGAGAUGUGGAGGAACACCGAUGGCGAAGGCAGCCCCCUGGGCCGACACUGACGCUCAGGCACGAAAGCGUGGGGAGCAAACAGG